rnacentral:tRNA from 1 species
GGGGCUUUAGCUCAGCUGGGAGAGCGCCUGCAUGGCAUGGCGGUAACAGGGGUUCGAGUCCCCUAGGGGACGCCA